rnacentral:rRNA from 1 species
GACGAACGCUGGCGGCGUGCCUAAUACAUGCAAGUCGAACGAGAGCGACCGGUGCUUGCACUGGUCAAUCUAGUGGCGAACGGGUGAGUAACACGUGGGUAACCUGCCCAUCAGAGGGGGAUAACAUUCGGAAACGGAUGCUAAAACCGCAUAGGUCUUCGAACCGCAUGGUUUGAAGAGGAAAAGAGGCGCAAGCUUCUGCUGAUGGAUGGACCCGCGGUGCAUUAGCUAGUUGGUGAGGUAACGGCUCACCAAGGCCGUGAUGCAUAGCCGACCUGAGAGGGUGAUCGGCCACAUUGGGACUGAGACACGGCCCAAACUCCUACGGGAGGCAGCAGUAGGGAAUCUUCCGCAAUGGACGCAAGUCUGACGGAGCAACGCCGCGUGAGUGAAGAAGGUUUUCGGAUCGUAAAACUCUGUUGUUAGAGAAGAACAAGUGCUAGAGUAACUGUUAGCGCCUUGACGGUAUCUAACCAGAAAGCC